UACAGAGGGGGCAAGCGUUGUUCGGAAUUACUGGGCGUAAAGGGUUUGUAGGUGGCCUGCUAAGUCAGACGUGAAAUCCCUCAGCUUAACUGGGGAACUGCGUCUGAGACUGGUAGGCUCGAGGACAGGAGAGGAACGCGGAAUUCCAGGUGUAGCGGUGAAAUGCGUAGAUAUCUGGAGGAACACCGGUGGCGAAGGCGGCGUUCUGGACUGUUUCUGACACUGAAAAACGAAAGCCAGGGGAGCAAACGGG
rnacentral:rRNA from 1 species